rnacentral:rRNA from 1 species
GUCUAUAGCCAUGGUACCCUGAACAAGCCUGAUCCUGUUCGAUCUCGGAAGCUAAGCAGGGUUGGGCCUGGUUAGUACUUGGAUGGGAGACCACCUAGGAAGACCAGGUUCUGUAGGAG